UACAGAGGGGGCAAGCGUUGUUCGGAAUUACUGGGCGUAAAGGGCGCGUAGGCGGCCUGUUAAGUCGAACGUGAAAUCCCCGGGCUCAACCCGGGAACUGCGUCCGAUACUGGCAGGCUUGAAUCCGGGAGAGGGAUGCGGAAUUCCAGGUGUAGCGGUGAAAUGCGUAGAUAUCUGGAGGAACACCAAUGGCGAAGGCAGAUCUCUGGGCCGUAACUGACGCUGAGGAGCGAAAGCAUGGGGAGCGAACAGG
rnacentral:rRNA from 1 species